UACAGAGGGGGCUAGCGUUGUUCGGAAUUACUGGGCGUAAAGGGCGCGUAGGUGGCCUGUUAAGUCGAACGUGAAAUCCCCGGGCUCAACCCGGGAACUGCGUCCGAGACUGGCAGGCUCGAAUCCGGGAGAGGGAUGUGGAAUUCCCGGUGUAGCGGUGAAAUGCGCAGAUAUCGGGAGGAACACCAAUGGCGAAGGCAGCUCGCUGGGACGUUACUGACGCUGAGACGGCGAAAAGCGUGG
rnacentral:rRNA from 1 species